rnacentral:tRNA from 2 species
GCCGCUGUGGUGGAAUUGGCAGACACGCAGCACUCAAAAUGCUGUGAGCCUAAAGCUCAUGUCGGUUCGACUCCGACCAGCGGCA